rnacentral:rRNA from 1 species
GACGAACGCUGGCGGCGUGCCUAAUACAUGCAAGUAGAACGCUGAAGGAGGAGCUUGCUUCUCUGGAUGAGUUGCGAACGGGUGAGUAACGCGUAGGUAACCUGCCUGGUAGCGGGGGAUAACUAUUGGAAACGAUAGCUAAUACCGCAUAAGAGUAGAUGUCGCAUGACAUUUGCUUAAAAGGUGCAAUUGCAUCACUACCAGAUGGACCUGCGUGGUAUUAGCUAGUUGGUGAGGUAACGGCUCAUCAAGGCAACGAUACAUAGCCGACCGGAGAGGGGGAACGGCCCCACUGGGACGGAGACGCGGCCCAGACUCCUACGGGAGGCAGCAGUAGGGAAUCUUCGGCAAUGGACGGAAGUCUGACCGAGCAACGCCGCGUGAGUGAAGAAGGGUUUCGGAUCGUAAAGCUCUGUUGUAAGAGAAGAACGAGUGUGAGAGUGGAAAGUUCACACUGUGACGGUAUCUUACCAGAAAGGGACGGCUAACUACGUG